UCCCUGGUGGUCCAGUGGCUAAGACGCUGCACUUCCAAUUCAGGGGGCCUGGGUUUGAUCCCCAAUCAGGGAA
rnacentral:tRNA from 1 species